CUAGGUUGCCAGGGGCUGGUGAGAGAGGAAAAUGAGGAGAUGUUGGUUAAAGGCUACAAAUUUCCAGUUUGAAGAGGAAUACGUUCUGGGGAUGUAAUGUCUCUACCUCAAGAAAUCAAUGUGAAACUGAAGCUGGUAAUAUUUAGCCCAGCAGAGAGCAGAGCCGAGAGUCACAAUAAGAUUUGUGGGAACAGAGUCCAACCAAGAAACUGAAGACCCUAGAAUCCAAUCUUAUCCCUGACACUAAGUAGCUGAUUAGGACCCCCAGAUAUCCAUCUGAAAUGAACCAAGAAGAACAUCACAAAAAUCAGUAUGUUGAUUACUCCAGGAGGUGAUAUGGGAGAUGGGAGAGGGAAGAACACACAG